rnacentral:rRNA from 1 species
UACGGAGGGGGCUAGCGUUGUUCGGAAUUACUGGGCGUAAAGCGCACGUAGGCGGCUUUGUAAGUUAGAGGUGAAAGCCCAGGGCUUAACCCUGGAAUUGCCUUUAAGACUGCAUCGCUAGAAUCGUGGAGAGGUAAGUGGAAUUCCGAGUGUAGAGGUGAAAUUCGUAGAUAUUCGGAAGAACACCAGUGGCGAAGGCGACUUACUGGACACGUAUUGACGCUGAGGUGCGAAAGCGUGGGGAGCAAACGGG